rnacentral:tRNA from 1 species
GGCCCUAUCGUUUAACGGUUAGGACACUAGAUUCUCAAUCUAGCAAUCCGGGUUCGAUUCCCGGUGGGGUCACCA